rnacentral:rRNA from 1 species
GACGAACGCUGGCGGCGUGCCUAAUACAUGCAAGUAGAACGCUGAAGCUCGGUGCUUGCACCGAGCGGAUGAGUUGCGAACGGGUGAGUAACGCGUAGGUAACCUGCCUGGUAGCGGGGGAUAACUAUUGGAAACGAUAGCUAAUACCGCAUAACAGUAGAUAUCGCAUGAUAGCUACUUGAAAGGUGCAAAUGCACCACUACCAGAUGGACCUGCGUUGUAUUUGCUAGUUGGUUAGGUAACGGCUCACCAAGGCAACGAUACAUAGCCGACCUGAGAGGGUGGUCGGCAAAAAUGGGAAUGGGAAAAGGCCCAGAAUCCUACGGGAGGCAGCAGUAGGGAAUCUUCGGCAAUGGACGGAAGUCUGACCGAGCAACGCCGCGGGAGUGAAGAAGGUUUUCGGAUCGGAAAGCUCUGUUGUAAGAGAAGAAAGAGUGUGAGAGUGGAAAGUUCACACUGUGACGGUAACUUACCAGAAAGGGACGGCUAACUACGUG